AGAGUUUGAUCCUGGCUCAGAGUGGACGCUGGCGGCGUGCUUAACACAUGCAAGUCGAACGGUAACAGGUCUUCGGAUGCUGACGAGUGGCGGACGGGUGAGUAAUGUAUAGGUAUGUGCCCCAUAGACUAGGAUAGCCACUGGAAACGGUGAUUAAUACUGGAUACUCCUUACGAGGGAAAGAUUUAUCGCUAUGGGAUCGGCCUAUAUUGUAUCAGCUAGUUGGUGAGGUAAAGGCUCACCAAGGCAAUGACACAUAACUGGUCUGAGAGGAUGAUCAGUCACACUGGAACUGAGACACGGUCCAGACUCCUACGGGAGGCGGCAGUGGGGAAUAUUACACAAUGGAGGAAACUCUGAUGUAGCAACGCCGCGUGGAGGAUGACACAUUUCGGUGCGUAAACUCCUUUUAUUAGGGAAGAUAAUGACAGUACCUAAUGAAUAAGCACCGGCUAACUCCGUGCCAGCAGCCGCGGUAAUACGGAGGGUGCAAGCGUUACCCGGAAUCACUGGGUGUAAAGGGUUCGUAGGUGGUUUAAAAAGUUGGAUAUGAAAGACCGGAGCUCAACUCCGUGUUUGUCUUCAAAACUCUUAAACUGGAAUUAGGGAGAGGUAAGCGGAAUUCUAAGUGUAGGGGUGCAAUCCGUAGAUACUUAGAGGAACACCAAAAGCGAAGGCAGCUUACUGGAACUAUAUUGACGCUAAAGAACGAAAGCGUGGGUAGCGAAAAGGAUUAGAUACCCUGGUAGUC
rnacentral:rRNA from 1 species